ACCCCUUCAACCAUCAACGGCAAGAUCUUAACAAUAUUUGCCCACAAUUGAUGAUACAAGCCAAUUCUAACAAUAAAGAUUCAAUUUUUCUCAAUCCCAACGGUAUUCGGCUUGGAGGGAACAUCUAAUACAACAAUUAUAAUCUAAAAACAAAAAAAUCAUUGCAAACCAUAAACAAAACCCAGAUCAAUCGAGGGAACAUCUAAUACAACAAUUAUAAUGUAAAAACAGAAAAAAUCAUUGCAAACCAUAAACAAAACAUGCAUACAGAUCAAUCCCCACGAAAUCAACCAAUGAUAUUAAACUCUUGUAAAAAAAAAUUACCUUG
rnacentral:lncRNA from 1 species